GGCUGAGGAAAGUGGCGAACGGGCGAGUAACGCGUGAGCAACCUACCUUGUACUGGGGGAUAACGUCGGGAAACCGGCGCUAAUACCGCAUGAGAUUACGAUGCCGCAUGGCAAUGUAAUCAAAGCUGAGGCGGUACGAGACGGGCUCGCGUCCGAUUAGCUAGUUGGUGAGGUAACGGCCCACCAAGGCGACGAUCGGUAGCCGAACUGAGAGGUUGGUCGGCCGCAUUGGGACUGAGACACGGCCCAGACUCCUACGGGAGGCAGCAGUGGGGAAUAUUGCGCAAUGGGGGAAACCCUGACGCAGCGACGCCGCGUGAAGGAAGAAGGCCUUCGGGUUGUAAACUUCUUUGAUCGGGGACGAAACAGACGGUACCCGAGGAACAAGCCACGGCUAACUACGUGCCAGCAGCCGCGGUAAUACGUAGGUGGCGAGCGUUGUCCGGAAUUACUGGGCGUAAAGGGCGUGUAGGCGGGGGGACAAGUCAGAUGUGAAAUACCGCAGCUUAACUGCGGGGCUGCAUCUGAAACUGUUCUUCUUGAGUGUCGGAGAGGAAAGUGGAAUUCCCAGUGUAGCGGUGAAAUGCGUAGAGAUUGGGAGGAACACCAGUGGCGAAGGCGGCUUUCUGGACGACAACUGACGCUGAGGCGCGAAAGCGUGGGKAGCAAACAGGAUUAGAUACCCUGGUAGUCCACGCUGUAAACG
rnacentral:rRNA from 1 species